UGCUGGGUAAAGUGGGAAUAUUAGAUGGCAGUCAGACCAGGCUCGUACCCACCAGGCAAGGCUAUUUCAGGAGGCAAUUUACCUUUUUUCCCUACAAAUAAACACAACCAGAUAAUGACCCACACCUCCCAGUGCCAUUAAAAUACAUGCAUUAUAUUCCAUAACUCUUCCUCGUUUGUUUCCCAAAAGUAGCAUCACUGCCUGGGAAAGAGUAUCAAGACAUUACUCAAAAAUAGAUGAGCAGUACAAGAAAUGAAGGACAAGCAGAUGAGUAUAAAUAGCUUCCUGCAGGAAGCUGUCUGAAAACAUUGUGAUUAGAGUCAGUACAGCCACACAGACAGUGUGUGCAGCUGUCAUUCCUAUACUGAACACCUCAUUUGACACCCUAUGGUUCUGUAGCCCUUUGUCAGGUGAACAAAGUGAAGUUGUCAUUCACCUGAUAGAUCAGACAAUAGAGAAACCCCCCAGACAGAAACCUCUACUUGUUUCUGGCUGGGAAAAGUAAAUCUUUCCUUCUUUUGGAAUCCACAGAAAUACAGAUGCAAAAGCAGGACUCGGAAAAAUGAGAGAAGAUAAGGUAUUGUUCCUGCAAGCAGAACAUCCUGUCUUGGAGAUGGUGAUACCACAGCCUUCUCAAGCACCACCCUUGGGAUACAAUUUCUACUGCAUCAAUACAGCCACUGUUAGAGCAUGACUUCAAACCCAGCUCAUCUGCAGAGGUCCCGCUCGCCAAAUUUGGGCUGCUCCAUCUUCAUAAUUUAUUGAUCAUUGCACCAACCUGAACGUCCUCCCUAAUUUACUCAGCAUUGUUUUACUAGGGAUGUACUUGUCUCUCAGCCAUUAAGGAUAAUUUUGCAGCCUGCCAGGCGUAACACCCAUUUCUGCAGCCUGACUCCAGAGCUUUCAUUCGGAGCUGACAGCUGCUUUUUGACAUCUAUCAGUUAGUCAGUUCUUAAUCCACUCAGCAGUCACUCAAUAGCUAUUGUACAGCGCUCAUUUUUUUUUUCCUAAGUGCUUAAACAGAGACGGCAAACAAGUGUAUUUGAAUGCUGAAAAAACAGACUUAGAGCCUAAAUCCUGCAGUGUUAAAGAGCCUAAGCCCCACUGGUGCCUAAACACUUAUAAGCAUGCAGACU
rnacentral:lncRNA from 1 species